GCCCAGACUCCUACGGGAGGCAGCAGUGGGGGAUAUUGCACAAUGGGGGAAACCCUGAUGCAGCGACGCCGCGUGGGCGAAGAAGUAUUUCGGUAUGUAAAGCCCUAUCAGCAGGGAAGAAGAAAUGACGGUACCUGAGUAAGAAGCACCGGCUAAAUACGUGCCAGCAGCCGCGGUAAUACGUAUGGUGCAAGCGUUAUCCGGAUUUACUGGGUGUAAAGGGGGCGCAGACGGCGAUGCAAGCCAGGAGUGAAAGCCCGGGGCCCAACCCCGGGACUGCUCUUGGAACUGCGUGGCUGGAGUGCAGGAGGGGCAGGCGGAAUUCCUGGUGUAGCGGUGAAAUGCGUAGAUAUCAGGAGGAACACCAGUGGCGAAGGCGGCCUGCUGGACAUUAACUGACGCUGAGGCGCGAAAGCGUGGGGAGCAAACAGGAUUAGAUACCCGCGUAGA
rnacentral:rRNA from 1 species